rnacentral:rRNA from 1 species
GACGAACGCUGGCGGCGUGCUUAACACAUGCAAGUCGAACGAUGAUGCCCAGCUUGCUGGGUGGAUUAGUGGCGAACGGGUGAGUAACACGUGAGUAACCUGCCCCUGACUCUGGGAUAAGCGUUGGAAACGACGUCUAAUACUGGAUAUGACCGCCGAUCGCAUGGUCUGGUGGUGGAAAGAUUUUUCGGUUGGGGAUGGACUCGCGGCCUAUCAGCUUGUUGGUGAGGUAAUGGCUCACCAAGGCGACGACGGGUAGCCGGCCUGAGAGGGUGACCGGCCACACUGGGACUGAGACACGGCCCAGACUCCUACGGGAGGCAGCAGUGGGGAAUAUUGCACAAUGGGCGAAAGCCUGAUGCAGCAACGCCGCGUGAGGGAUGACGGCCUUCGGGUUGUAAACCUCUUUUAGUAGGGAAGAAGCGUAAGUGACGGUACCUGCAGAAAAAGCACCGGCUAACUACGUGCCAGCAGCCGCCGUAA